rnacentral:rRNA from 1 species
AAUCAACGCUGGCGGCGUGCCUAACACAUGCAAGUCGAACGCGAAAGUCCCGAAAGGGAUAAGUAGAGUGGCAAACGGGUGAGUAACGCGUGGGUGACCUGCCUCCGAGUGGGGGAUAACGUUUCGAAAGGAACGCUAAUACCGCAUAAUAUGCCGCCUUUUAAGAGGUGGACAUCAAAGCCUGGGACCGUAAGGCCAGGCGCUUGAAGAGGGGCCCGCGUCUGAUUAGCUAGUUGGUGGGGAAUGGCUCACCAAGGCAACGAUCAGUAUCCGGCCUGAGAGGGCGGACGGACACACUGGGACUGAGACACGGCCCAGACUCCUACGGGAGGCAGCAGUGGGGAAUUGUUCGCAAUGGGCGCAAGCCUGACGACGCAACGCCGCGUGGAGGAU